AACCAUAUCUUCCUGCUCUCCUUCUGCACUCCAAAACCAAAUGUUGAGUGCUUGUUUUCCCAUCAGUAAGAAUCCUCCAAUCUUUUGAAGAAGCAAUAAUGGCACUGUGGGUGAACCUCAUGUGCUUGUUAGUUGUCCUCACAGGUGUCCAAUGUGAGGUUCAAUUGGUGGAAUCUGGAGGGGAUGUGAGAAGACCUGGAGAGUCCCUCCAUCUCUCCUGCCAAGCCUCUGGAUUCACCUUCAGCAGCUAUGAGAUGAGCUGGGUGAGACAGCCUCCUGGGAAAGGCCUUGAAUGGGUGGCAUACAUAUGGUCUUCAGAUCUUUACUACUCUGACAAAGUCAAGGGACGGUUCACCAUCUCCAGGGAUGAUGCCAAAAGCCAGCUGUAUCUGCAAAUGAACAGCCUCAAACCAGAGGACACAGCAGUCUAUUACUGUGUGAGAGACACAGUGAGAGGAAGGAUAUGUGAAGCCAAGCAAAAACUUCCUAUUUCAUAGAGCAGUUCUGAAUUUUGCCUUUGGACCAAUAUUCAGCUUCAUUAAUUUGGAAUCUCUCCUCAUGUCAUCAUUCAGCACUUCAACCUUCAUCCAUU